AUUGAACGCUGGCGGCAGGCCUAACACAUGCAAGUCGAGCGGAGCGGCGGACGAGUGAGGAAUGCCUAGUAAUUAGCCUGGUAGUGGGGGAUCACGUCCGGAAACGGGAGCUAAUAACGCAUAAUAUCAGAUGAGCCUAGGUGGUAUUAGCUAGUUGGUGGGGUAAAGGCCUACCAAGGCGACGAUCCGUAGCCGGCCUGAGAGGAUGAUCAGUCACACUGGAACUGAGACACGGCCCAGACUCCUACGGGAGGAAGCAGUGGGGAAUAUUGGACAAUGGGCGAAAGCCUGAUCCAGCCAUGCCGCGUGUGUGAAGAAGGUCUUCGGAUUGUAAAACACUUUAAUUAGGGAAGCGUUACCAACAGAGUAAGCACCGGCUAACUUCGUGCCAGCAGCCGCGGUAAUAC
rnacentral:rRNA from 1 species